rnacentral:sRNA from 1 species
GACAGGAAUGGAGCAUGUUGACGAACAUGAUGGAUGAUCGGUAGAGGAGGAUGAUGUUGAAGACGAUGGACAGUCGGGGGAUGUCAAAGGUCUUGAUCUGUCUUGACUGUCUUUCUCCACGCUGUGAUAUGAAUGUUCUUGACGAAUAAAACUUUUCUUAGUAGACUGGGAUGGGACACUUAAAUUUCUCUUUAACACUUUCUUUUGUCGGCCAGGUUUUACAUACCAAAUGUCACAAUUGUCAGAAUGGGGCAAAAAUUCAUGCAAAACAGGUAAGUUAAUUCAGGUGGCAUCUUGAGUUUGACUGCAGUAUCGUGUAAGUCUAAGUCUACAUGAGGUACAAAUUUUAGAAGGAUGAAUGUUCAAAGAGUCAAUGUCGAUGUUGUAAAGGGAUGUGAUUGCCGACUUGAAGCUUUCUUUGGAAUGAGACUUUGAAUUUAUGGGAAUUUUUACCCCCCAAAGUCUGCACAAACUGUUUAACUUUAAUUCAUGCUCCAUUUUUGUGGAGGAAGUGAAAUAAAAAUAUUUCAAAAUCUGUUAUCACCAUC